UGAAUCCCAGCUGAUUAGCUGUCAAAAUAUUAUUAUUUUCAAUGAAAAAUUCUAACCUGUUUUUAACAAGAUGCUCAGCUAUUUUAGCGAGAACAGAGGAUAGGGCUAUUGGGCGAAAAUAAGAAACAUCAGAGGCUGGUUUGUUUGGUUUUAAUAUGGGAAUUAUAGCUUGGGUUUUCCAAGAAGAAGGAAUAUUACCAGACAACACAAUGGCAUUAAUAAUACUCAAAUAGUAGUUCAAGGAAGCGACACUGCUGUUUAUUAAGAAAGAGUAAGUAAUGCCGUCUUCGCCUGGGGAUGAAUCUUUUACAUAAGAUAAAACCCCUUCUAGUUCAGACAAAGAAAAGGGAGCAUUGAGGUCUGUAUAACUACAAGCUUUAGAGGAAAAAGUACAACACUGGACAUUAUUAAAGUCAGGAACUGAUGGAGGAGCCAACUUAUCCAUAAAUUGGUCGGCUAGCUCAAUAGGUUAGAAGGAGGGCAAGAGAUAGGUAAAGUAAGAACAAGUGGUAAGUGAUCACUGCCAUAAGAAUGAUCAAGUACACUCCAGGAUAUCAGAGAGGCCAUACUUGGAGAAAAGAGAUAGGUCAGGAGCACUAAGGCAUUCACCAGGACCAGUACGUCGAGUUGGAGUGCCAUUGUUCAAAAUACAUAUAUUUUGAGAGUCUAAAAUAUCUGCCAUCAAAUCACCAUAAUAAUUAGAACUAGUACUACCCCAUGACUGAUUUUGACAAUUGAAAUCCCCAAGUACUAAAAAUGGACUAGGUAAAGUAAUUGUGGAGGAGAGGUAGCAGCUACAUCAGCAUAAGACUUUGAUGUAGAAGGGGGAUGGACUUUAGCCACCUCUGCAUAUGAUAUGCAGCUCUGGGCCAUUGAAAUUUUGAUUUUCUGCUGUCUAGAAAAUUCUGGACACAACUUACUAGUCGUAAAGUGGCGACCUGUGCAAUGAAGACAACGAGCAUUAUCAGAGACAACGGCACAAGUGUCUGAGGGGUGUUCAUCCCCACAUUUAAAGCAACGGGGCUUGGAUCUGCAUUGAAUUUUAGUGUGGCCAAAUUUGCAACAAUUGUAGCACUGGAUGGUUGGGAAAAUAUAUAAUUCAACAGGGAGUGCUGUAUAACACAUGUAAACCCUUUUUGGUAAAAUUUGACCAUCAAACGUCAAUACAACCAUGUUUGUAUUUGAAAAUGAAGCUGUACCAUCAUAAUUUUUCUUUUAAUACGUCUUACCUUUAUGAUUUUACCACAUCCUAUAGGAACAUUGAUAUUUUCCUGGAUAUCUUCUUCCGUCCAGUCUUGGGGCACACCUUUCACUAUACCCACUCGUGUAACAGUAAAGCUAGGAAUGAAAACUUUGUAAGAGAGGCCCACUAUCAAUGAGCUCUCUGUAAACAAGUUGGCAUCCUCAUAAUUGGAAAAAGCCAUGGACAAUCUAUUUCUGCCUAUGCGUUUUAAACUGCCAUUAACAAUAUUAUUUAUUUUAUAUUUUUUCAAAUCUUUGCCAAACUGUAUUGGAUGCAAAGUUAUUGGAUCAUUUGGGGAUGAGGUGAUUCUUUGUAUGUGGACAGUGAAAGGGCCGGAAUCUGUGCUAACAUACUUUCUAGGUAGUGGUUGUGAGAGACCCGAGGUAGUGGGUUGAGUCAUGUUGGCACCAGUAUUGACCGGUGGGGCAUGGCUUUUAGGAGGUAACAUAUUUUUGUUCUCAUCUUUAAUAUCAUCUAAAACAAUUGGAAUAAUUUUUCGUCAGAGUCUUCGCACUGACAUGCUUGGGCAUACAAUUUUCCAUCCUUACUCUUUCGUUUUUUACAGUUGCAAUGACGACACCUUUUUCGCGGUUUCGUGCGUUUACGUUGUGAAGCAGGAACAAAGCCAUCCUCAGUGUCCAUUGACGAAUCAUCAAUGACUAUGUUAUAUCCUACAGGAGGACCAGGGCCAGGCCCCGGACCUCCGGGGUCGUCCGGGGGAUCGACCCCCAUAUAAAGAAAAAAAACUUACCAACUCUCAAUAAUUAAUACAUACACUAAUAAUAACACAAAAUAAUAAAAUAAAUAUCUAGAAACAAUUUACUAAAUACUCUUAAACACUAAA